UACGAAGGGGGCUAGCGUUGUUCGGAUUUACUGGGCGUAAAGCGCACGUAGGCGGAUUGUUAAGUCGGGGGUGAAAUCCUGGAGCUCAACUCCAGAACUGCCUCUGAUACUGGGGAUCUUGAGUCCGGAAGAGGUAAGUGGAACUGCGAGUGUAGAGGUGAAAUUCGUAGAUAUUCGCAAGAACACCAGUGGCGAAGGCGGCUUACUGGUCCGGUACUGACGCUGAGGUGCGAAAGCGUGGGGAGCAAACAGG
rnacentral:rRNA from 1 species